UUGACGAAAAGGCAAAGCACGGGUAAUCGUGUGACGCAAAGCUACCUGUCCAGAAGCCUGGAAAGAGGGGCCGCCGAA
rnacentral:ncRNA from 1 species